rnacentral:rRNA from 1 species
AGUAACACGUAUCCAACCUGCCGAUGACUCGGGGAUAGCCUUUCGAAAGGAAGAUUAAUACCCGAUGGCAUAGUUCUUCCGCAUGGUGGAACUAUUAAAGAAUUUCGGUCAUCGAUGGGGAUGCGUUCCAUUAGGUUGUUGGCGGGGUAACGGCCCACCAAGCCUUCGAUGGAUAGGGGUUCUGAGAGGAAGGUCCCCCACAUUGGAACUGAGACACGGUCCAAACUCCUACGGGAGGCAGCAUG